rnacentral:rRNA from 1 species
AUUGAACGCUGGCGGCUGGCUUAACACAUGCAAGUCGAGCGGAGAGAGGUAGCUUGCUACUGAUCUUAGCGGCGGACGGGUGAGUAAUGCUUAGGAAUCUGCCUAUUAGUGGGGGACAACGUUUCGAAAGGAACGCUAAUACCGCAUACGUCCUACGGGAGAAAGCAGGGGGCCUUCGGGCCUUGCGCUAAUAGAUGAGCCUAGGUCGGAUUAGCUAGUUGGUGAGGUAAUGGCUCACCAAGGCGACGAUCCGUAACUGGUCUGAGAGGAUGAUCAGUCACACUGGCACUGGGACACGGUCCAGACUCCUACGGGAGGCAGCAGGGGGGAAUAUUGGACAAUGGGCGAAAGCCUGAUCCAGCCAUGCCGCGUGUGUGAAGAAGGUCUUCGGAUUGUAAAGCACUUUAAGUUGGGAGGAAGGGUUGUACGUUAAUACCGUGCAAUUUUGACGUUACCGACAGAAUAAGCACCGGCUAACUCUGUGCCAGCCGCCGCGGUAACAC